rnacentral:lncRNA from 15 species
AACGGUAACGUUUAACACCUGUCUUAGGUGUCUGUCAUUUAACAUCUGUGUCUCUGUGUGCCCACAGGGGAACUCAUUGGGGUGGAGUACCUGUUCUCCCAGACGGGCGCUGUGCUGCAGAAGGACCUGGAUGAUCCUGACGCUCCAGGAGGGACUGAUGAGGACGAAGCCGGGGGGGGGUGGGGGGGCAGUGAUGAAGAGUUCGAGGAGGAGGAACCAGAGGAGAUUCGUCUCCUCGAACACCACAGCGCUCUCCUUCAGUCCUCAAACCUCACCCGCGUGGACCAAAUGGAGGUGCAGCAGGCUGAGGAGGAGGAGGAGGAGGAGGAGGAAGGAUGUUAUCGGGCCAGGUGGAGGCAGCUACCAGCACGUCGUGGCCCUGGCCCAGGCCCUCGUGGAACUGCGCCACCGCCGCUACGUCACUCCCAGGCAAGCCAGAGAGAUCACCGCUCUCUGGCUGAAGUUGAGUGAUUGGGACAAGGCAGCGGUCAAAUUCCCCCCCCCCCCCCGUCACCAGGGCCGGCUUGUCCAAGGCCGAUUCCGGACCACCCAGCGGCACGCUCACAUGCCAGGGGUGUGGAUAGUGUGAAGCGGUAAGCAGUCACAAUAAAUUUCCAAGCUUUUUUUGGUUCUUGUCCUGUCCUGUCAGUCACUAAUUAACUCACUGACUCACUCUCUCUCUCUCUCUCUCUCUCUCUCUCUCUCUGUCUAUGUAGUGCGGUCCUGGGCAAGGGGGCGGGAGCGGCGCAGUCUCCCGAUGUGUCGAGGCUUGUGGAGGCUGUCCUGCUGGACCUCAGCAUCCUCCACUGCAGCGAGGGCAGGAAGAUUGCCGGGGUCUGGAUUCCUCGCUGGGGUGCCGUCAUGAGGGACUAUCUAACAAUUCGCGAGAAUGUUUAUAGUUGUGCAGCCCUCAUGACGAGCACCCGCAUCCAGCUAUAUGAUGUCAAUCGGCGGACCCUGACGCAAUGGCACAACCAGAGGAGCAAGGCCAUGAUGAGGGACACCAUCGCCAUUGCAGUCCUGGGGCCCAGCACUCCCCAGACUGCAGCGGAGCCCCUGCCUGCCCCACCGACUGUGCUGCAGCAGCCUGAGCAGCCAGACCAGCCCCUCCAGCACCGCCUGCCCACGGACGCUUCUGGUCCUGGACCUCAUCGUCGCCAGCUCCUCCACUGCCUUCCUCCUCCUCCUCAUCAGCCACCCCACAAGCCUCCAGCGCGGACGCCGUCCUGUCCACCAGCGUCAGCGCGGAGGCCGGUGACAUCCCCUCCACAGCCACAGCUGCCACUGCUCCACCAGUGCCAAGGAACACCGCCUGGAGGCGCAAGCUCCAGGAGGAGAAAGAGCGUUGUGCCGGGAGCUGGGAGAACACUUAAAACCAGCAAAGAAGGUCUCCCACUUUAACUGCAGGCGCAGUGGCCAACCGAAGACGCGGGCGUUUGGCCACAGCCGCUACAAGAAGGAGACCUUCUGCUCCCGGGCCGAGGGGAAAGGGAGAACUGUGGAGCAGUGGCUGGCAGAGGUGAAGGGGCGUGAUGGAGCAGCCCCCCCUGCCUGAGCGAACACUUCACUUUGUGUGUGUGUGUGUGUGUGUGUGUGAGUGAGUGAUGGGGCGGCUCCCCCUCUCUGAGCGAACGCUUUGUGUGUGUGUGUGUGUGUGUGUGUGUGUGUGUGUUUGGGAGGGAGGGAUUUGUAAAUAUUGUGUAUAUAGUGUAUUUAGUUUGUCAAUUAUGUUUGCUAAAUAAAUAUUGUGUAUAUAGUUGUCUUAUAUAAGAUAUUCCUUUAUUUGUCCAACAAUGGGGAAAUUCCAAUAUAUAUCUAUAUAGUUGUAUAUUGCUGUCUUAAUUGUUUUUGUUUUAAAUAAACUUUUCUUUUUUAAACCAAUGCUUUCUCCUGCUUCUUUCGGUCUUUAAGAAAUUAAAUAAAUAUAGGGAAGACUAGGUAUCUAGACUAGGUGCCUGAUAUCACUAAAUUCCCACAGGUAACAGUCACACAAUACAUCAUUCCCUCUCCUCACUUAAAACUAGGGUCAAGGGGUCAACCCAGGGUCAGGUUCAAAGGUUUACCUAGAGACUAGGUGAGAAUGGGCCUCAAAUGGACACUGUAAAACAACAGGGGGUGCUGAAGGUUUAGUUGGACAGAAUGGAAAGCAGAAAAGCAACGCGGAAAACCAAACACGUCACUUCAUUAGGUUUGUUAGAAAUAUACUUUGUUAAACUGCAUCUGUGUUUCUAUGUACCUUGACUAACAGAGUUCUGUAUUGUAUUUGUAUUUAAGUGGACUACGACUGCACAUCCUCCUCCUCCUCCUCCUCCUCCAGCUCCUCUCCUUGAGGGCUUCAGGCAGCAGAGCCAGUGGCGGGGACCAGCAAGCCCACCCGUUGCACUGUGUACAGGCGCAAAAUUAAAGCAGCAAAAGACAAAAAAGUCCUCCAAAGUACCAGGGGAAAGCCACAGCACAAACCUGGUGACCCCUGCAACAUCCGUGGCCAAGCAUGCACGGUGGAUGGUGGCCACACUUACCUCAAGGGCCAAUACUUUUGUGCUGUGGAAGAGGGCCCUGGAGGACACACAGUGCAAGAGUAGAUCAGGGAACAGCUUGGCCCUGGUGAGCUACAGAAGCUCCCCAGAACAACAGCCUGGAACCUCAAACAGAGGCAUGAGAAACCAGAGAAACCAGGUGGGAAAGUGAGGAAGCCCCACAAACUGCGGAUCUGCCAACUCUGUGGCCAGCCACAGCAGAAAGACUUUGGCCACAGCCAAUAUGGGGGAGAGCACUUCUGUGCUUUCUAUGAAGGGAAGACUGUGGAGCUGUGGCUGGCUGAGAAGAGUUUAAAAAGACAUUAAAAGUUUUUUUUUUUAAAUAUUUACUGUACUAUUAUCCAAGCACCUUAUAUGUUUCAUCUGUUCACUGCACCUUAUAUUUUUUAUUUUUAGUUUGCACUGCAAUUAUACUGGUUAUUUAUCCAUUUUUUAUAUUGCAUUCUAUGUUGAUUUUUUUGAUAUGUCUGUGUGUUGUUACUGUGUGUAAUGCUGCUGCUACAUUGCACUUUCCCAGCUUAUCUAUUAUACAUUUUGACCAUUCCUAAUAA